UAAAUAAUAGUUAUUUAUUUAAUUUUCUCGAAUUCGGAAGAGCUAGUUAUUUAUAAAUUUUAUUGUAGAAUAAAUAUUUAAAAUAGAUAACUAGUAAUGAAAUGUUAUUCGUUUCUGAAUAUAUCUAGUUUUUUAAGAAAUAAAUUUAAUUUACUUGAUUGGUAAGAAUUUUUUUAUUUUAUAAUAAAUUUUUUUAAUCAGGAAAUAGCCAAGGGGAUGAGCUUUUAGCUAAAAUUUUAUAAAUUAUUUAUUUAAUGGAAAUUGGUAGGAUUAGAAGUUUUUAUCUAUAGAAUGAUGUUAUAAUUAAUUUCUUUUUGUUUUAUUAUUUAUAUAUAAUUUUAAAUUUUUUAUUAAAAUUUAUUUUUUAAUUUUUUAUGAUUAGGAAUAAUGAUUGGAUUAGUAUAGAAUUUAUUUAUAUUUAUUGAGAAUAUUAGAGAUUAGGUAAAGGAAUUCGGCAAAAACAUUUCUCACCUGUUUAUUAAAAACAUGGCCUUUUGAUAAUUAUUUAAGGUCUAGCCUGCCCACUGAGUACUUAAAUGGCCGCGGUACCCU
rnacentral:rRNA from 2 species